CAGCAGCAGCCGCGGUAAUACGAAGGGGGCUAGCGUUGUUCGGAUUUACUGGGCGUAAAGGGUGCGUAGGCGGACUGAUAAGUCAGGGGUGAAAUCCCAAGGCUCAACCUUGGAACUGCCUUUGAUACUGUUAGUCUUGAGUUCGAGAGAGGUGAGUGGAACUGCGAGUGUAGAGGUGAAAUUCGUAGAUAUUCGCAAGAACACCAGUGGCGAAGGCGGCUCACUGGCUCGAAAUUGACGCUGAGGCACGAAAGCGUGGGGAGCAAACAGGAUUAGAUACCCCGGUAGUCCCUGUCUCUUAUAC
rnacentral:rRNA from 1 species